UACGUAGGGGGCGAGCGUUAUCCGGAUUCACUGGGUGUAAAGGGAGCGUAGACGGCCAUGCAAGCCAGGGGUGAAAGCCCGGGGCCCAACCCCGGGACUGCCCUUGGAACUGCAUGGCUGGAGUGCGGGAGGGGCAGGCGGAAUUCCUGGUGUAGCGGUGAAAUGCGUAGAUAUCAGGAGGAACACCGGCGGCGAAGGCGGCCUGCUGGACUGCAACUGACGUUGAGGCCCGAAAGCGUGGGGAGCAAACAGG
rnacentral:rRNA from 1 species